rnacentral:rRNA from 1 species
GUUGUUUUCUCGAAAAUCAAUUAAAAAAGGCCGGAUUUUGUGUUGUAUUGACUUUAUCAGCUUUCUGCACUUUUUUCUUGUCUUUUUUAAUGCACUUUUCGUUUAACAAGUCAACAUCAAUUUCUUUUGUUGUAAAAGGGUCAUUGGAAGGUGGCUUUCUUUUCGGAGAAAGUGUUUAUAGCCUUUGGCCUCUGCAAUCGGAGAGAUUGAGGUCUGCAGCGUAGAUCCUUCGGGGUUAGAUACAUUUGUGCUAAGUUAUAGCCUUUCAUAGACAACUUGUUGACUAUGAUCAGUCAUGUAGCUUACUCGCUUAUGCUAUUUUACCUAC